UGGAGAUGAUGCUCCAGUCCACCUCUCAGUUCUUCACACUGUCUCAAGACUGACUCCUGAUGUGACGAUCUUCUGCCUCCUGAACACCACUGAUGACUGUGACCGUUUAGUUCAGGAGAGGCGUCUUGAUCUGCAGUGGCUGAAUGAGAGAGGAGUCGUGCAGAAGAGCUCAGAUGACGUCAUGAUUGGCAGAGUAACUCAUUGUGACGUUAGUCUGACUCUGAGGCUCCCCGUUCACACCCAGAGGACCUGGAGAUGCCAGUUAACCGCAGGAGGGCAGGUUCAAGCAUCUGCGUCCCACACCGUUGGAGAGGCUACAACAGCAAGAUCAACACCAAAAAUGACCACCGCCACCACCACCACCACCACCACAAUAGAAG